rnacentral:rRNA from 1 species
UUAGGAAUUUUGCGCAAUGGGAGAAAUCCUGACGCAGCAACGCCGCGUGAGGGACGAAGGCCUUCGGGUCGUAAACCUCUUUAGACAGGGAAAAACACAAUGAUGGUACCUGUAGGAUAAGCACCGGCGAACUCUGUGCCAGCAGCCGCGGUAAUACAGAGGGUGCAAGCGUUAUUCGGAUUCACUGGGCGUAAAGGGCGCGUAGGCCGCUUGAUAAGUUUGAUGUGAAAGCCCUGGGCUCAACCCAGGAAGUGCAUCGAAUACUGUCAGGCUGGAGCACGGGAGAGGAGAAUGGAAUUCCUGGUGUAGAGGUGAAAUUCGUAGAUAUCAGGAGGAACAACAGAGGCGAAGGCGAUUCUCUGGACCGUUGCUGACGCUGAGGCGCGAAAGCGUGGGGAGCAAACAGG